rnacentral:rRNA from 1 species
AUACGGAGGGUGCAAGCGUUAUUCGGAAUCACUGGGCGUAAAGGGUGCGUAGGCGGUUUGAUAAGUCUGAUGUGAAAUCCUAUGGCUCAACCAUAGAACUGCAUUGGAAACUGUCAGACUAGAAUACUGAAGGGGCAGAUGGAAUUAGUGGUGUAGGGGUAAAAUCCGUAGAUAUCACUAGGAAUACCGAAAGCGAAAGCGAUCUGCUGGGAAGUUAUUGACGCUGAGGCACGAAAGCGUGCGGAGCAAACGGGAUUAGAAACCCGAGUAGUCC